GGACAACAUGCCCUCGGGAGGGGGAUAACCCCGCGAAAGUGGGGCUAAACCCCCAUAGGGGAUGGAUACUGGAAUGUUCCAUCUCUGAAAGUCCGCAAGGAGCUCGAGGAUGGGUAUGCGGCGGAUUAGGUAGUUGGUGGUGUAACGGCCCACCAAGCGUAAGAUCCGUUCGGGCCAUGGGAGUGGGAGCCCGGAGAUGGACCCUGAUACAAGGGUCCAGGCCGUACGUGGCGCAGCAGGCGCGAAACCUCUGCAAUGCGGGAAACCGCGACGGGGUCAGCCGGAGUGCCGAUGCUUGCAUCGGCUGUCGGGGAGCUUAAAAAGCUCUCCAAGCAAGGGCCGGGCAAGGCCGGUGGCAGCCGCCGCGGUAAUACCGGCGGCCCGAGUGGCGGUCACUAUUAUUGGGCUUAAAGCGUCCGUAGCCGGGUUGGUUAGUCUCCCGGGAAAUCUGGCCGCUCAACGGUCAGAAUUCCGGGAGAUACUGCCAGCCUAGGGACCGGGAGAGGCCGAGGGUAUUCCCGGAGUAGGGGUGAAAUCCUAUAAUCCCGGGAGGACCACCUGUGGCGAAGGCGCUCGGCUGGAACGGGUCCGACGGUGAGGGACGAAGGCCAGGGGAGCAAACCGGAUUAGAUACCCGGGUAGUCCUGGCAGUAAACGAUGCGGACUUUGUGUUGGACAAGCUAUGAGCUCGUCCGGCGCCGGAGGGAAACCGUUAAGUCCGCCGCCUGGGGAGUAUCCCCGCAAGGCUGAAAGUUAA
rnacentral:rRNA from 1 species